AGACUAAUUGAAGUAAUUAUUUUAAUUUAAUGAUGUCAAGUUAGUACUAUUUGGUUUUGGUGACAAGUAGUUGUUUGUUCUUUUAGAGACUGAGGCUGCACAUAGCUGGACCUGCAUGGAUUUGUAUGUUUUUGCAAUCUUGUUGUUGCUGAUCGAUCAUUAUUGUUAUUGUAUUGAACAGGUGAAGCAGCAUGGGGUUUCUGUGUUUCUCUGAUUGAUGUUUUGCCUCUGUUCGCUAACAAUGCAUGGGGUCAGAAAGCCAACCUGGAUGUUCAUUCAGGAGACUUCUUAGCUGUGUCAAAAAUCCUAGGUAGGUGGGGUGGUUUUGAGACACUAGAAAAGUGGGUAACCGGUUCCUUCGCCGGUCAUACUGCAGUUUGUUUGUUUGAAAGAUGGUAUGGGUAAUUUAUGGGUUGGCGAAUCAGGGCAUGAGAAUGAAGAGGGUGAAGAAAUAAUAGUGGUAAUUCCGUGGGAAGAGUGGUGGGAAUUGGCUCUUAAAGAUAGUUCCAAUCCACAGAUAGCCUGCCCUUACUUCCCCUGCAUCCAGACUUGCGUGCAAAAUUUAACUCCACUGCAGCUGGAUUCACACUGUAGCUGACAACUAUCCUCCACCUCUUGAUGCUCACUUGGUAAUUUCUGUCAUGUCUAUGUGGACUAGAUUGCAGCCCGCUUAUUCUGCAAAUAUGUGGAAUGAAGCAUUGAAUAAGCGGUUAGGGACUGAGGCCUUUAAUUGAAGAGUUAGCUAGGAAGGAAUCAGUUCGGGUCACUUUAUCACCUACUGUGCAGCAAGAGGCUCUUAAUGUGUGGAUUCAGAAAAAACUUUUCAUAGCAAAGCACAAACUCAUCUCCCCUGCUAUUUAGUUUGGCAUACCUAUGUAUUUAUUAAGUUUGAACUCUAG